AUUGAACGCUGGCGGCAUGCCUUACACAUGCAAGUCGAACGGCAGCACGGGUGCUUGCACCUGGUGGCGAGUGGCGAACGGGUGAGUAAUACAUCGGAGCAUGUCCUGUAGUGGGGGAUAGCCCGGCGAAAGCCGGAUUAAUACCGCACACGAUCUACGGAUGAAAGCGGGGGACCUUCGGGCCUCGCGCUAUAGGGUUGGCCGAUGGCUGAUUAGCUAGUUGGUGGGGUAAAGGCCUACCAAGGCGACGAUCAGUAGCUGGUCUGAGAGGACGACCAGCCACACUGGGACUGAGACACGGCCCAGACUCCUACGGGAGGCAGCAGUGGGGAAUUUUGGACAAUGGGCGAAAGCCUGAUCCAGCAAUGCCGCGUGUGUGAAGAAGGCCUUCGGGUUGUAAAGCACUUUUGUCCGGAAAGAAAUCCUUGGCCCUAAUACGGUCGGGGGAUGACGGUACCGGAAGAAUAAGCACCGGCUAACUACGUG
rnacentral:rRNA from 1 species